rnacentral:rRNA from 1 species
GUGGGGAAUAUUGGACAAUGGGCGCAAGCCUGAUCCAGCAAUGCCGCGUGGGUGAAGAAGGUCUUCGGAUCGUAAAGCCCUUUCGACAGGGACGAUGAUGACGGUACCUGUAGAAGAAGCCCCGGCUAACUUCGUGCCAGCAGCCGCGGUAAUACGAAGGGGACUAGCGUUACUCGGAAUUACUGGGCGUAAAGGGCGCGUAGGCGGCUCUGUUAGUCGGGCGUGAAAUUCCUGGGCUGAACCUGGGGACUGCGCUUGAUACUGCAGGGCUUGAGGCCGAGAGAGGGUGGUGGAAUUCCCAGUGUAGAGGUGAAAUUCGUAGAUAUUGGGAAGAACACCGGUGGCGAAGGCGACCACCUGGCUCGGUUCUGACGCUGAGGCGCGACAGCGUGGGGAGCAAACAGGAUUAGAAACCCGGGUAGUCC